rnacentral:sRNA from 1 species
AUGUACCACUCGUACACUCCGGUUCCUGCGCGCCAUCCACACCCGCCUGACGACUGCUCGCUACGUUUUGUUAGCU